rnacentral:misc_RNA from 1 species
GAAAUGCGAUAAGUAAUGUGAAUUGCAGAAUUCAGUGAAUCAUCGAAUCUUUGAACGCACAUUGCACCCGGUGGUAUUCUGCCGGGUAUGCCUGUUCGAGCGUCAUUUCUUCCCUCAGGCCUUGCUGCUCAGGCAGCCCAGGCACUGGUGUUGGGGAUCUACAGCGCUGAUUCUUCGGCGCUGUAGUCUUCUAAUUUCAUCGGCGUACGCGUGUACGUUGCCCCCUGCGUAGUGGAUUUUUAUUUUCUCGCAUCGGGCCGUGCCGCCGUGCCGCCGCAAAACUGGACACUUCCAGUGAGCUUGACCUCGAAUCAGGUAGGGUUACCCGCUGAACUUAAGC